rnacentral:rRNA from 1 species
UACAGAGGGGGCAAGCGUUAUUCGGAAUUACUGGGCGUAAAGCGCGCGUAGGCGGCUUUGCAAGCCGGAUGUGAAAUCCCCGGGCUUAACCUGGGAACUGCAUUCGGGACUGCAUUGCUAGAGUAUGGGAGAGGGAAGUGGAAUUUCAGGUGUAGCGGUGAAAUGCGUAGAUAUCUGAAGGAACAUCAGUGGCGAAAGCGACUUCCUGGACCAAUACUGACGCUCAUGUGCGAAAGCGUGGGGAGCAAACAGG